rnacentral:rRNA from 1 species
GAGUUUGAUCCUGGCUCAGAAUGAACGCUGGCGGCGUGCUUAACACAUGCAAGUCGCACGAGAAACGUUUCAGCUUGCUGAAACCAGUAAAGUGGCGCACGGGUGAGUAAACGCGUGGGUAAUCUACCUCCGAAUUGGGGAUAACAUUGCGAAAGCGAUGCUAAUACCGGAUAACAUCUUAAAAACCUCGGUUUUAAAGAUCAAAGGUGGCCUCUACAUGUAAGCUUCUGUUUGGAGAUGAGCCCGCGUACCAUUAGCUUGUUGGUAGGGUAAUGGCCUACCAAGGCGACGAUGGUUAGCUGGUCUGAGAGGAUGAUCAGCCACACUGGAACUGACACACGGUCCAGACUCCUACGGGAGGCAGCAGUGAGGAAUUUUGCGCAAUGGGGGAAACCCUGACGCAGCAACGCCGCGUGAGUGAUGAAGGCUUUCGGGUCGUAAAGCUCUGUCAAGUGGGAAGAACCCACAUGGUGAUAAUACCGCCAUGUGCUGACGGUACCACUAAAGGAAGCACCGGCUAACUCCGUGCCAGCAGCCGCGGUAAUACGGGGGGUGCAAGCGUUAUUCGGAAUUACUGGGCGUAAAGGGCGCGCAGGCGGUCUCUUAAGUCAGAUGUGAAAGCCCGGGGCUCAACCCCGGAAGUGCAUUUGAAACUAAGGGACUUGAGUAUGGGAGAGGGAAGUGGAAUUCCUGGUGUAGCGGUGAAAUGCGUAGAUAUCAGGAGGAACACCGGUGGCGAAGGCGACUUCCUGGACCAAUACUGACGCUGAGGCGCGAAGGCGUGGGGAGCAAACAGGAUUAGAUACCCUGGUAGUCCACGCAGUAAACGGUGAACACUAGGUGUAGCGGGUAUUGACCCCCGCUGUGCCGCAGUUAACGCAUUAAGGUCCGCCGGGAAGUGCCCGCCAGC